UCAUACAUUGGGGUGUUAGCACGCACCAAGAUCCCAAUAUCUAUAAAUGAUUGGAGAAAUGUGCCUUUGGAUGAAAAAGACAAGAUUUGGAAUAGUAUUCAGGAUGCUUAUGUGGUGCCAAAAGAAUGGAAGAAAUUGGUGAUUACAUCAGCCGGCCACAAAUGGAGAGAGUUCAAGAGCAAACUAACGAACUGGUACAUUAUUCCCUAUCUGGAUUCUCCUGAACUUUUAAAGUUCCCUCCAGAUGAUUAUCGAUCCAUUGAGGUAGAUGAAUGGAAUACGUUCGUGGCUGAUAGAACUUCAGAACAAUUUCAGGUACUCCGUGAAAAGCAGAAAAUAAAGAGGAAGGAGAAUAAGUAUCCUCAUCGAUUGUCACGGAAAGGAUAUGCUAACUUCCAAGAAGA